GACGAACGCUGGCGGCGUGCCUAAUACAUGCAAGUAGAACGCACAGUUUAUACCGUAGCUUGCUACACCAUAAACUGUGAGUUGCGAACGGGUGAGUAACGCGUAGGUAACCUGCCUGGUAGCGGGGGAUAACUAUUGGAAACGAUAGCUAAUACCGCAUAAUAUUGAUUAUUGCAUGAUAAUCGAUUGAAAGAUGCUAUUGCAUCACUACCAGAUGGACCUGCGUUGUAUUAGCUAGUAGGUGAGGUAACGGCUCACCUAGGCGACGAUACAUAGCCGACCUGAGAGGGUGAUCGGCCACACUGGGACUGAGACACGGCCCAGACUCCUACGGGAGGCAGCAGUAGGGAAUCUUCGGCAAUGGACGAAAGUCUGACCGAGCAACGCCGCGUGAGUGAAGAAGGGUUUCGGAUCGUAAAGCUCUGUUGUAAGAGAAGAACGGGUGUGAGAGUGGAAAGUUCACACUGUGACGGUAUCUUACCAGAAAGGGACGGCUAACUACGUG
rnacentral:rRNA from 1 species